UUUAGGUAUAAUUGGGGAACUAGUACGUUUCUGGAAAAUAAUUAGAAAAGUAGUACUGACACUAUUUACAAUUGGGAAAAACACUCACUCUCUCUCUUCUCUCUCAUCCUACUCAUCGAUUUAAUCGCUCUUUCUUUCUCUCUGCAUCUUCUCCAUCAAUUUUUUUUCAAUCUCAUAGAAGAAUGUCACAUAAUCAACUUCUUCUUCUCUUCUCAAUUGAUGUUCUUCGCUUCAUUUAUCACUUCGUCUCUGUCAUCACCGUCACCCCCGGCUGAUUAUCCUCUUUAUUUCUGGCGGUUGCCGACGACGUUUUCGUUCGGAAACCAGACCUUCUCCGUGGAUCCCGCCGAGUAUCUAAUCGUAGGUGAAAGUGGCGGCGGAUCUUCGAUUGUUAGUGCUCCGUUUGAGAGGUAUAUGGGGAUAAUCUUUAACCACGCCUCUAGUAAAGAACGACACGAGUCUUCUGUCAAGGUAUCACCGGAAAAAACGACACUUUCCACACUGAACAAGCCAUUGAAUACGACACCAAAAUGAUGAAGCUCUAUCUUCUCUUACGUUCACACACAAAAAUAAUCUGAGAAUGGCAAUGAGAUUUUUUUAGAUAAUCGAAGAUGUAAAAUUCUGGGUUCAUAAAUCAAUUCUCUUGGUAAUUAUUGCAAUCAAUUCUGGUAACAUUAUCAUAAAUAGCAAUUUGCUUCAAAAUAUAUACUUGUAAAUUAAUUCAUUGCGUUUAUCAAAUAAGAUAAGUAGGAUGGUUGAAAAUUUUCUGAGAUUGUGUAUCCUUCUGUACAUUAGUUUAUAUCUGUACAGUUAUUCUGCUGUACAGUGGUCUAUAUAUGUACAGUCAUUCUGCUGUACAGUGGUCUACAUCUGCACAGUCAUUCUGAUGUAUAGUUGUCUUCUGCUGUACAGUUGUCUAUAUCUGUACAGUCAUUCUGUUGUACAGUUGUCUUCUGAUGUACAGUGGUCUACAUCUGUACAGUCAUUCUGCUGUACAGUGGUCUA